rnacentral:rRNA from 1 species
GACAGAGGGUGCAACCGUUGUUCGGAAUUACUGGGCGUAAAGCGCGUGUAGGCUGCUUCAUAAGUCGGGUGUGAAAGCCCUGGGCUCAACCUAGGAAGUGCACUCGAAACUGCGAAGCUUGAGUCCUGGAGAGGAAGGCGGAAUUCUCGGUGUAGAGGUGAAAUUCGUAGAUAUCGAGAGGAACACCGGUGGCGAAGGCGGCCUUCUGGACAGUGACUGACGCUGAGACGCGAAAGCGUGGGGAGCAAACAGG